rnacentral:rRNA from 1 species
AGCNUGCCGCGUGNAUGAAGAAGGNCUUCGGGUUGUAAAGNACUUUCAGUUGUGAGGAAGGCGUUGNAGUUANUAGCUUCAGCGUUUGACGUUAGCAACAGAAGAAGCACCGGCUAACUCCGUGCCAGCAGCCGCGGUAAUACGGAGGGUGCGAGCGUUAAUCGGAAUUACUGGGCGUAAAGCGCAUGCAGGCGGUCUGUUAAGCAAGAUGUGAAAGCCCGGGGCUCAACCUCGGAACAGCAUUUUGAACUGGCAGACUAGAGUCUUGUANANGGGGGUAGAAUUUCAGNNGUAGCGGUGAAAUGCGUAGAGAUCUGAAGGAAUACCGGNNG